UACGUAGGAGGCAAGCGUUGUCCGGAAUCACUGGGCGUAAAGCGCGUGUAGGCGGAUCGCUAAGUCUGUGGUGAAAGCGCCUGGCUUAACCGGGCGAGGUCCAUGGAAACUAGCGGUCUGGAGGCCGGUAGAGGGGGGUGGAAUUCCGGGUGUAGUGGUGAAAUGCGUAGAGAUCCGGAGGAACACCAGUGGCGAAGGCGGCCCC
rnacentral:rRNA from 1 species